GGUGUUUUAGCUCAGUGGUAGAGCACUUGCCUAGCACGUGUGAGGCUCUGGGUUCAAUUCUCAGCACUA
rnacentral:tRNA from 1 species